ACUAAGCAUGGACGUGAAAGAAGUAGAGGUAGACUUGGGUACACAAGAACACGUCCAAAAAAAAACUAAAAAAAGAAGCUGAAAAGGGGAAAGAAACUACAGAAAGAAAAUGGAGAAACAAAGGAAGGAGUGGUGAAAGCAGAGACCGACUAGAAACCGCUGGAGACGCAUUUUCCACCAAGAUUCACCCUGUCAGAGAUCAAAAAUAAACAACGAAGGCAUUUUAUGUUUUUGGAAUUUAAACAGGAGAAACGAAAGGCACCCCCAAAAGAAGUUCCAAAGACAAUUGAAAACCAGAGGGUUUAUAAUGAGACUACUGUAGACCCCAAAGAUGAAGAGUUGCAUCUAAGGAGCCAGAGAUCCAGGGGCCUAUGAAAACAGUGUGUAAUGUGAAAAAAGGAAGGUCUUCAACAUCAAGCACCGUGGUCGAAGGAAUUGCACAAAAAGGAUCGGAGAUUUCCAAGAAGAGGAGCGUGGAUUUUGAAGAAGACAACAUAGGCAGCCUUUCAAAGAAAAGGAAAGAGGAAUUUGAAAGAAAUUAACUUGCAGUAGCAAGGUACAGUUCGAGUUAAAAAGAAGUGGAGUCUAGAAACGAGGCCUUUAAAAAAAAAAAAAAAAACGUUCAAGGUUGUGUAUGAUAAAAGGGUGCUUGCAGAAAACUUUACAUCUUUACCCUAUGGGUAUUAGACAUUGAGUCAUGGAUAUUAGACUGAAAACAUCCUUUUCCGUGUAUAUUGGCAGGGCCUUCUAAUUGCUGAAAAAGCUAUUUUAUAAAACAGUUGUUGGAAAGAGGUGAAUAUAUGUUAUCUUGCAAGCCUGAUAAUAUUGUGUGGUGUUAUAGUUGCUAGCAACCUCUACAAAGACUUGUUGUUAAAAUUCCCUUUUUAUUAAAUUUAUAGAAGGUUUGCCAGCAACAUUUAACAAUGACGAUUUACUACCUCCCCAUAAAGUGAACCUGAUUGUUGUGGAUGAUUUGAUGGAAGCAGCAAGUGACAACAAAAUUGAAAAGGCUUUCACAAAGUAUGGCCCACAUCUAUUUGUUGAUUUAAAUGCUAAUACUCCUGAUGGCUAUCGGUUGAGGAGCGGUCUUUUCCCCCCUGACUUGCCUGUAGCUUACGUCUUUAAAAAACAAAAUUCUAAAAGGGCUUGAUACACCCGAUAGGGUUGAAACUUUUAAAAGAAGUAAAUUGUUUAAAAGGCUUGAAUGGCUGUCUGUUUAACGAUGUGCAUGUUUUUUUUUUUUCUAUUUUCUGUUUCUUUUGUGUAAAUGUAAUACGUGCUUGUGAAUGUAACAGUUUUACAUAUUGUAUAUGUUUGCAGUGCAUUUGCACGGGUAUAACCUAUGUCUGUUUUAAAUUGUAAUAAACUAUUUAUAAUUA